rnacentral:misc_RNA from 1 species
GAUGAAGAACGUAGCGAAAUGCGAUAAGUAAUAUGAAUUGCAGAAUUCAGUGAAUCAUCGAAUCUUUGAACGCACAUUGCGCCCCUUGGUAUUCCGAGGGGCAUGCCUGUUCGAGCGUCAUUAUAACCCUCAAGCUCAGCUUGGUGUUGGGGCCUGCUGCACUGGCAGCCCUUAAAAUCAGUGGCGGCGCCAUCUGGCUCUAAGCGUAGUAAUUCUUCUCGCUAUGGAGUCCUGGUGGAUGCUUGCCAUCAACCCCCAAUUUUUCUAUGGUUGACCUCGGAUCAGGUAGGGAUACCCGCUGAACUUAAGCAUAUCAAUAAGCGGAGGA